CAAGGCGGCGCAAUGGGCGCAUGUAACUAUGGACCUUCAGAUAUCUGAUUGAGAUUUCUUUUACUAGCAUGUUAGUUUAGGCAAAGGCAAUCUAAUUGUUUCGAAAACACACUGUAUUGUUUUCUAAAGUAUUAGCUAGGCCUGGUUUAUUAUAACUCGCCGUGUGCUUCACAUUAUAAACCCUACUCACUCUCUCGUCAUCAUGGACGAGGAAUAUUACGAGAGGAAUAUUGGAGACUGGGAUGGUCCGGAUGGCAAUGACGACUAUGUUGAAGGGGAGAAUGAUGGGAAAGUUCAGGAGGACUGCCUACAGAAGUUCUUCAGCAGAGAUUACAUCAUGGAGCCUGCUGUAUUCAACACCCUUAAAACAUAUUUUCAGGCUGGUGGCUCCCCUGAACACGUCAUCCAGCUCCUGUCAGAGAACUACUCCACUGUGGCCCAGACUGUCAACCUGCUGGCAGAGUGGCUCUUCCAAAUGUGUAUUGCAGGUGUAGAUCCAGCUCAGGUGCAGGAACGGGUAGAGAAUCACUUGAAGAGUCUGCUGACCAAGCACUUUGACCCCCAGAAGGCUGACUCCAUCUUUACCGUGGAGGGAGAGACUCCUGCCUGGCUGGAACAGAUGAUCGCCCACACCACCUGGAGAGACCUUUUCCACAAGCUGGCCGAGGCCAACCCUGACUGUCUGAUGCUCAACUUCACUGUCAAGCUCAUCUCAGAUGCCGGCUACCAGGGGAGAUCACCAGUGUGUCCACGGCGUGCCAGCAGCUGGAGGUGUUCGCCAGGGUCCUGAGAACCUCUCUGGCCACACUGCUGGCUGGAGAAGACCCUGCCAGAGUUCACUAAGAUGGUGUGUCACGGUAAGCACACUUACCCGUUUGCCCAGGCCAUGAUAUCCAUCAUGUCUCAGGAGGAGCAGGGAGGGUCGGCCAGGAAGUACAGAAGUCUGCACAUCAGAGGUGUAGGAUUUGAUUGCCUCACCAUACACUUCGGACUUUGUCCAGCUGUUCCUGCCGAACGACAGCGUCGCUGGAACCAUUCGGACAGAAGGAGAACAUGACCCUGUUGCGGAGUUCAUAGUCCACUGCAAAGCCAACUUCAUCAUGAUGAACUGAGAAUGACACUGGUUUGGUUUAACUUGACUGAGGAUGUAGCGGGAAGACCAGGACCUUUUGGUUUUGAGCCAAUCCCUGGAUGUGUUCUGCUGAACGAGGACUGGAACAUUGCCGAUUUUGAGGCUGACCACUUGGGUGUAGACUUUCACCUGCAACUUUUUAUUUUCAAAUGUGGUGUAAACACAUGACUCAGAAUUAGGAUGUUGUGUAUUAUUGCGUCUCUGGAGGUAUGUGGAGAACUCGUGCAUCUCCAUUCAUUUCACUGUAGUUUCCAUUAGUAUGAGCUAAAGUUUAGGUCUGUUAAUAUGUAUGACUGACUGCUCAAAAGGUUUGGCCUUUUUCAUGGUUGCCUUUUUCAAUUUGACAAGAAUCAUGACACAUCUUAGUUUUAUUAGUUCCAGACGUAGCGACAUCCACCAUUCUGCAGCAUUUAUUUUGAGGUGGUUCAGAAAAUGUAUCAACUAUUAAAACAAUUUUCUGUAACAGGCCUGGAUUCAAACAAAUUGAACUGUGGAAACCGUCAUGACGACAAGCAUAAAUUACCUUUAAGCUAAGUGCAGUGAGAUGUCAGUCCAUUUGUUUGAAUCCUGGCCUUGCUUUCAGAAUACUGAAAUCAUUCAGUUAAAUUUGCAUACAACAAAAGACAAGUGGCAUCAGAAUUGAUCAAAGCUUUAACAUUUACAGCCACAAUUAAUUCUUCCUAGCCUUUUGAGCUUAAGCUAAAUUGCACCUAAUAUCAGCAUUUGUACUUGUUCAAAAGACAAAGUACAUAAUGACUUGUUCAGUAACAUUUUGUAUAAGAAAGAUCCGAAAGCACAUCAACGCAACAUUUUUUUUUAAAUAACUUCCCUCUUCCUGAUUUUACCAUGGUACAUUGUUACAAUGUGGAAGUAGCCUGAGAUUGUCAAAGAAAACUAUAGAUAUACAAUGCUGCCUAUUCUUUGUAACAGCUUCAGGGGCCUCAUUUAUAAAUGCUGCCUACAUGCAAAAGUUGGCAUUCAUAAAAACUGAAAAUGUGCUUACCUCCAUGCAAACACA